UACAGAGGGGGCAAGCGUUGUUCGGAAUUACUGGGCGUAAAGGGCGCGUAGGCGGCCUUCUAAGUCGAACGUGAAAUCCCUGGGCUCAACCCAGGAACUGCGUCCGAUACUGGAAGGCUUGAAUCCGGGAGAGGGAUGCGGAAUUCCAGGUGUAGCGGUGAAAUGCGUAGAUAUCGUAAGGAAGACCAGUGGCGAAGGCGGGUCUCUGGACAGUUCCUGACGCUGAGGCACGAAGGCCAGGGGAGCAAACGGG
rnacentral:rRNA from 1 species